GCCCGUUUAGCUCAGUGGUAGAGCGCGCCACUCGUAUUGCGUGUACUAAGUUAUGGUGAGGUCGGUUGUUCAAACCAGCCAAUGGGCA